UAGGGACCAACUUUGUUUUUUUAUAAUUUUUUUUAUGUAGAUAGAUAGAGCUCGUUAAUCUCAAUAAUAAUUGUUUUGGGCAAAAAUUACAAAAACUUUAUAGUUUGGUCAGAAAAAUGUGUUUUGUGAUUUUUUUGUAUGGAGCGGGUCACAUUAAAUUAAAUUCCUGCUAAGCACCGCGAGGUCCCGCUUUGAAACUUUAUUUUCCUUAUACCUUGUCUAGUCUACUAUCAUUUGAUGCCAUGAACAUGUGCAUAAAGUUGCAACUCUGCCAAAUAAAUGGAUCGAAAAAAAAUUAUAAAUACAUAGAAUAAAAACCUUUAUAUUUUUUUUCGUAAGUGCUUUUAAGUUAAAUUUGAUAUGGAUUAGUAAGUAAAAGCACGUAAUUAUACCCAUAAUUACAUAAUACCUAACAACAAUACAUUUAGUAGGUCUCUAAUUAAGCAAUCUCUCUAAUUAUUAAGAUAGUUAACAUUAAAUAGUAGAAAAUAUAGUAAACAUUUGUUUGUCUCUGGAAGUAUAAAGUGACCAUGUUUAUUAUAUACUAACUAGUGUUCGUUUAUUCGUACUACUACUAACAUCUCGUGAUUGUCGUUGUGAUCUUGCUGUUUCCGUUAUAAUUGAUAAUUUUGUUAACAAUUUAGGAUUAUUUAUGAUUUUAAGAGAGCAACUACAGUCGCUGUCUGAUAAUAAAAAACUCUUUCAAUUCCUACAAAAUCAAAUAAACGUGACCGAAGAGAAAAAUUUUGAGCUCCAAAAAUUCAGUACGCAAUUUUGUUCAAAUAUAAGUGCAAUAUGGAAACGAAGUAGUCGCAUGUUAGCACAGUUUAUAAGAAAAAAAAUGUGAUUGGUUAGAAUGUGCAAUAAACUGGCCCGAAGGAAUGAUACCUGAAGCUAUCAACACUGCACAUGAAAGGCUCGAGAUUUCUAAUACUGAAGAUGUUGAAAAUGUACCACUCUCAAAUGCCUCGACAUCUAUUUUUGCACCUCGAAAACCUUUUGAAGAAUUGGGAUCCAGGCAAAAACGAAGACGCAUUGAACAAAUUUACCAAUCGCUUUCGUUAUCCCCGGAUAAAAUGAAAGCUACUACAAUUACUAGUUUGAGAAACACUAGAAAUGAAGAUGUAGGAGAAAUAAUGAACCACUUGUCAAAUCACCCCGAAGAUCUAGAAAAAGUUAAUGAGUAUUUAAUUACAAGUAAAGUGAAAAGUAGUACAUAUUCUCCCGAUAAGGCAAUAUUAGUUUCACUUAAAUUAAGUGGCAGUAUAUAAACCUAAGAGAAGCAGCAAGUGAAAAUGGGUCUGAUUUAUACCCUUCUUAAUAUAAAAUUAAGCAAGAAAAGACCAAAUGUUAUCCAGGGAAAGACGAGGUAAUUAUUACUGAAGAAGGAGCUGCUAUUAAAAUGCAAGCAUUACUAAACUUGGCGCUAUAUAGGCUUUUAGAUGUGAUUACUUCGGAUUUGGACUCUGCAAGAGAGCUACUGCUUAUAAGCAAAUAGGCUUUGAUAGAGCCCCAGGUCAAAGUAAUUAUAAACAAAAAACUGAAACAGAGUAUGAUGAUUCAUCUAUUUUCAUGGUCAGUCUAGUUCCUAUAAGGCUUCAGAAAUUUGAUGGAACAAUUGUUUGGGAAAACGACCUCAUCAACUUUUUAUUGCCGUCCAAUAAUGUUUAAAUUUACAAAAGAAACGCAGUCAACAGUGACAAUUAUAAAAGCUAGCAUAACAGAAGAAAUAGAAAGACUUCAGCCAUCAAAAAUCAAACAAGUUGAAGUUAAGCAUCAAUUGCACAUGAUGAUGAUAGACGGCAAAAUAACCUCAUAUUUUUCAGAAACAUUUUCUGCUGUCUGUGAUAUUUGCAAAGCAAAACCGAGUUUUUUGGAGUGACUUGCUUAUCAAAGAGAAAAUAAUGAAGAAAUAUUCCAGUAUGGAAUGCCAUCUUUACAUGCCUGGAUAAGAUGCAUGGAGUGCUUACUUCAUAUCGGUAAACUCUCGGAAGAGGCAGCGGAAGCUCGCAAUAAAGAUUUUCGGAAAUAUACAGAGAGAUGUUAUUCAAGAAUGAGAAGUAGAACGUCGAAUAAUGAGGAUAUUUUACACAAUCUUCUUUCGUCUUCUGACCCAAAGAUCGAAAGGUGAAACAAAAUAUAUAAUAUUUAGAGAGAUUGCAUAAUUAGAGACCUACUAAAUGUAUUGUUGUUAGGUAUUAUGUAAUUAUGGGUAUCAUUACGUGCUUUUACUUACUAAUCCAUAUCAAAUUUAACUUAAAAGCACUUACGAAAAAAAAUAUAAAGGUUUUUAUUCUAUGUAUUUAUUAAAUUUUUUCGAUCCAUUUAUUUGGCAGAGUUGCAACUUUAUGCACAUGUUCAUAGCAUCAAAUGAUAGUAGACUAGACAAGGUAUAAGGAAAAUAAAGUUUCAAAGCGGGACCUCGCGGUACUUAGCAGGAAUUUAAUUUAAUGUGACCCGCUCCAUACAAAAAAAUCACAAAACACAUUUUUCUGACCAAACUAUAAAGUUUUUGUAAUUUUUGCCCAAAACAAUUAUUAUUGAGAUUAACGAGCUCUAUCUAUCUACAUAAAAAAAAUUAUAAAAAAACAAA